rnacentral:rRNA from 1 species
AGAGGGGGCAAGCGUUGUUCGGAAUUACUGGGCGUAAAGGGCGCGUAGGCGGCCUUCUAAGUCGAACGUGAAAUCCCUGGGCUUAACCCAGGAACUGCGUCCGAGACUGGAAGGCUCGAAUCUGGGAGAGGGAUGUGGAAUUCCAGGUGUAGCGGUGAAAUGCGUAGAUAUCUGGAGGAACAUCGGUGGCGAAGGCGGCAUCCUGGACCGGUAUUGACGCUGAGGCGCGAAAGCCAGGGGAGCAAACGGGAUUAGAUACCCCGGUAGUCCUGGCCCUAAACGAUGAAUGCUUGGUGUGGCGGGUAUCGAUCCCUGCCGUGCCGAAGCUAACGCAUUAAGCAUUCCGCCUGGGGAGUACGGUCGCACGGCUG